AGGCUAGAGAGAGUUCACAGGCUCUUGGUGUCCUUUAGUGGGCGCCUGCUCCGCUGGCGGUGUGACAGCCCCGUAGUCGGGGCAUGUGUCCCAAGCUGUGGAGGCCUCUGUCCCGCGAGCGGCCCGCCCUCCCUGUAAUCAGGUGUGGGGAGGCUGCAGCAUUGCAGCCGGCUGCUCUAGCCAUCCAGCUGGUGGGAUUGAGCCCUCCCUGUCCCGUCAGAGGGUGCAGGUUGAGGUGCUGGUUUUGUGUGUGGGGUGACCUCCCCGCUCGGUGGGUCGAGGUUGCUCCCCGGGUUCCCAAAGACGAGAGCUUGGUGAUGUUGUGCUGCUGCCGGGCGGGCCAGCCUGUAGCUCAGGCGUUGGCGGGAGCCUCGUGCUCCGCGGGGCUUGUUGGUGAGGGUGGGGUGUGGGGGUACCGUCCUGUAGGCAGGGCUGUGCGUGCCCCCGGUGUGUGCUUGGUGAGCUGCGUUCAGAGAGACCCCCUGUAGUCAGGCGGGCACGUGGCCCUGGCCUUUCAGAGGCACGGGGCCGCGAGAUGCGGGGUUGGGCUUGCGCCCUCCCUGGAAUCAGGGCUGGGAGCCCGAGCGCGGCAUUUGGCCGUGUUGCCCCGCUGCCUGGCAGCUGAGAGUCGAUUCCGCCGCUGGGGGGGAAACCGAGCUCCGUGGCUCCAGGGGUGUUGUCCACCCGCCUGUAAUCAGGGUCUGGGUGCGCGAGCGCUUGUGCUCAGCUGGCAGCCUGUGUGGGGUGACCGCCCCGUUAGCGGGGUGCGGGUCGAGGUGCCCCCUGAGUGGGAGAGAAGGAGCCUCCCGCGGCCGGUAGGGAUGGGGGCUGCCCCGUAAGGCGGGGAGCGCCAGUGCCCCGCAGUCCCAGGCCCUUUGCAACGGAUGCAGUGGCGGGGGUCCCCUGUAAUCAGGGAAGAUGACUCUUUGGCCGCUGCUUUUUGUGUGCCCAGCUCCAUUUGCCCAGUCUGCCCGCCUCUGUGAUCCCCCGCAGCACCGGCUGGAAGCGCGCCGUGCGCCAGUGAGGAGCUGCUGCAGGAGGAGGAGGAGGAGGAAGAAGAAGCGUCGUGGGGACGCGGGAGGCAGGAGCGAGCAAGAAGAGGAUGCCGAAGCGUGCCGACGCGGGGGGGAAGGAGAGAGGCAGGCUGGGCAAAGCAGGUGUCCCGUUAGCGGGGCCGCAGUCACAUGAGAGUUUGAGCGUUGCCGGUGCCUUGGCCGGCUUUGUGCUGGGCGACCUCCCUGUAAGCAGGGCUCGGGUCUUUGCUUUUGCUGUAGUUGGGCUUUUGCCUUGCUGCUCCUUAGGCUGCCUGGGGAGCGUGGCCCCCUGUAACGGAGGGCGAGAGCCACCUCUCCGCACCUGAGUGGGAAAUGGAGCUCGCCGGACCCCGAGGCCGCCCUGUAAGCAGGGUAGUGCCGUUUGCCCGUCCCUCUUCCUCCUCCGGCCCCUCGGCAUCGUUGCCUGGUGGUGGCCCGUAAACACGACGGCCCCGUACUCGGGGUGCGCGUCACGGCAUCUGGCCUUUGGCUUUAGCUGGGAAGCCCCUUGGCAUGUUGAGGUCUGCGGCCUCCGUGCAGGCUAGGGACAGGUCGCAGGCUCUUGUCUGUUGCCCGCGGUUGUGGGUUUAUUCCCAGGGUUUGGCUGCGCUGCGUUGUCCUUCCCUCCUGGAAAGUCGCAUCUGUGUGCGUGUGUUCCCCUUCCUUUCCAUGUUUGUGUCUGUGGUGUGACUGAGCGACUGAGCUUCCCUUUAGGCUCCCACAAAAAUGGCUGCAGCCUAGCUUCGACUUACCAGGGGGGAAUGGAGGGCUUUGGUGCAUGCCACAAAAGGGGUGUUCCCUCUCAGUCCCGCGAGCGCAGCGAGUGUCCUGUCUUCCUCCAAAUUACUUAGCAUAGAUCAGAGCCACGUGGUAGUUCUGUGGCUGAGGCCGCCCUUUAGCCAGGGCUUGGGCCAGUCCUUUAGUGGCGCCUGCUCCGCUGGCGGUGUGACAGCCUCGUAGUCGGGGCGUGUGUCCCAAGCUGCGGAGGCCUCUGUCCCGCGAGCGGCCCGCCCUCCCUGUAAUCAGGUGUGGGGAGGCUGCAGCAUUGCAGCCGGCUGCUCUAGCCAUCCAGCUGGUGGGAUUGAGCCCUCCCUGUCCCGUCAGAGGGUGCAGGUUGAGGUGCUGGUUUUGUGUGUGGGGUGACCUCCCCGCUCGGUGGGUCGAGGUUGCUCCCCGGGUUCCCAAAGACGAGAGCUUGGUGCUGUUGUGGUGCUGCCGGGCGGGCCAGCCUGUAGCUCAGGCGUUGGCGGGAGCCUCGUGCUCCGCGGGGCUUGUUGGUGAGGGUGGGGUGUGGGGGUACCGUCCUGUAGGCAGGGCUGUGCGUGCCCCCGGUGUGUGCUUGGUGAGCUGCGUUCAGAGAGACCCCCUGUAGUCAGGCGGGCACGUGGCCCUGGCCUUUCAGAGGCACGGGGCCGCGAGAUGCGGGGUUGGGCUUGCGCCCUCCCUGGAAUCAGGGCUGGGAGCCCGAGCGCGGCAUUUGGCCGUGUUGCCCCGCUGCCUGGCAGCUGAGAGUCGAUCCCGCCGCUGGGGGGGAAACUGAGCUCCGUGGCUCCAGGGGUGUUGUCCACCCGCCUGUAAUCAGGGUCUGGGUGCGCGAGCGCUUGUGCUCAGCUGGCAGCCUGUGUGGGGUGACCGCCCCGUUAGCGGGGUGCAGGUCGAGGUGCCCCCUGAGUGGGAGAGAAGGAGCCUCCCGCGGCCGGUAGGGAUGGGGGCUGCCCCGUAAGGCGGGGAGCGCCAGUGCCCCGCAGUCCCAGGCCCUUUGCAACGGAUGCAGUGGCGGGGGUCCCCUGUAAUCAGGGAAGAUGACUCUUUGGCCGCUGCUUUUUGUGUGCCCAGCUCCAUUUGCCUAGUCUGCCCGCCUCUGUGAUCCCCCGCAGCACCGGCUGGAAGCGCGCCGUGCGCCAGUGAGGAGCUGCUGCGGGAGGAGGAGGAGGAGGAAGAAGAAGCGUCGUGGGGACGCGGGAGGCAGGAGCGAGCAAGAAGAGGAUGCCGAAGCGUGCCGACGCGGGGGGGAAGGAGAGAGGCAGGCUGGGCAAAGCAGGUGUCCCGUUAGCGGGGCCGCAGUCACAUGAGAGUUUGAGCGUUGCCGGUGCCUUGGCCGGCUUUGUGCUGGGCGACCUCCCUGUAAGCAGGGCUCGGGUCUUUGCUUUUGCUGUAGUUGGGCUUUUGCCUUGCUGCUCCUUAGGCUGCCUGGGGAGCGUGGCCCCCUGUAACGGAGGGCGACAGCCACCUCUCCGCACCUGAGUGGGAAAUGGAGCUCGCCGGACCCCGAGGCCGCCCUGUAAGCAGGGUAGUGCCGUUUGCCCGUCCCUCUUCCUCCUCCGGCCCCUCGGCAUCGUUGCCUGGUGGUGGCCCGUAAACACGACGGCCCCGUACUCGGGGUGCGCAUCACGGCAUCUGGCCUUUGGCUUUAGCUGGGAAGCCCCUUGGCACGUUGAGGUCUGCUGCCUCCGUGCAGGCUAGAGAGAGUUCACAGGCUCUUGGGUGUCCUUUAGUGGGCGCCUGCUCCGCUGGCGGUGUGACAGCCCCGUAGUCGGGGCAUGUGUCCCAAGCUGUGGAGGCCUCUGUCCCGCGAGCGGCCCGCCCUCCCUGUAAUCAGGUGUGGGGAGGCUGCAGCAUUGCAGCCGGCUGCUCUAGCCAUCCAGCUGGUGGGAUUGAGCCCUCCCUGUCCCGUCAGAGGGUGCAGGUUGAGGUGCUGGUUUUGUGUGUGGGGUGACCUCCCCGCUCGGUGGGUCGAGGUUGCUCCCCGGGUUCCCAAAGACGAGAGCUUGGUGAUGUUGUGCUGCUGCCGGGCGGGCCAGCCUGUAGCUCAGGCGUUGGCGGGAGCCUCGUGCUCCGCGGGGCUUGUUGGUGAGGGUGGGGUGUGGGGGUACCGUCCUGUAGGCAGGGCUGUGCGUGCCCCCGGUGUGUGCUUGGUGAGCUGCGUUCAGAGAGACCCCCUGUAGUCAGGCGGGCACGUGGCCCUGGCCUUUCAGAGGCACGGGGCCGCGAGAUGCGGGGUUGGGCUUGCGCCCUCCCUGGAAUCAGGGCUGGGAGCCCGAGCGCGGCAUUUGGCCGUGUUGCCCCGCUGCCUGGCAGCUGAGAGUCGAUUCCGCCGCUGGGGGGGAAACCGAGCUCCGUGGCUCCAGGGGUGUUGUCCACCCGCCUGUAAUCAGGGUCUGGGUGCGCGAGCGCUUGUGCUCAGCUGGCAGCCUGUGUGGGGUGACCGCCCCGUUAGCGGGGUGCGGGUCGAGGUGCCCCCUGAGUGGGAGAGAAGGAGCCUCCCGCGGCCGGUAGGGAUGGGGGCUGCCCCGUAAGGCGGGGAGCGCCAGUGCCCCGCAGUCCCAGGCCCUUUGCAACGGAUGCAGUGGCGGGGGUCCCCUGUAAUCAGGGAAGAUGACUCUUUGGCCGCUGCUUUUUGUGUGCCCAGCUCCAUUUGCCCAGUCUGCCCGCCUCUGUGAUCCCCCGCAGCACCGGCUGGAAGCGCGCCGUGCGCCAGUGAGGAGCUGCUGCAGGAGGAGGAGGAGGAGGAAGAAGAAGCGUCGUGGGGACGCGGGAGGCAGGAGCGAGCAAGAAGAGGAUGCCGAAGCGUGCCGACGCGGGGGGGAAGGAGAGAGGCAGGCUGGGCAAAGCAGGUGUCCCGUUAGCGGGGCCGCAGUCACAUGAGAGUUUGAGCGUUGCCGGUGCCUUGGCCGGCUUUGUGCUGGGCGACCUCCCUGUAAGCAGGGCUCGGGUCUUUGCUUUUGCUGUAGUUGGGCUUUUGCCUUGCUGCUCCUUAGGCUGCCUGGGGAGCGUGGCCCCCUGUAACGGAGGGCGAGAGCCACCUCUCCGCACCUGAGUGGGAAAUGGAGCUCGCCGGACCCCGAGGCCGCCCUGUAAGCAGGGUAGUGCCGUUUGCCCGUCCCUCUUCCUCCUCCGGCCCCUCGGCAUCGUUGCCUGGUGGUGGCCCGUAAACACGACGGCCCCGUACUCGGGGUGCGCGUCACGGCAUCUGGCCUUUGGCUUUAGCUGGGAAGCCCCUUGGCAUGUUGAGGUCUGCGGCCUCCGUGCAGGCUAGGGACAGGUCGCAGGCUCUUGUCUGUUGCCCGCGGUUGUGGGUUUAUUCCCAGGGUUUGGCUGCGCUGCGUUGUCCUUCCCUCCUGGAAAGUCGCAUCUGUGUGCGUGUGUUCCCCUUCCUUUCCAUGUUUGUGUCUGUGGUGUGACUGAGCGACUGAGCUUCCCUUUAGGCUCCCACAAAAAUGGCUGCAGCCUAGCUUCGACUUACCAGGGGGGAAUGGAGGGCUUUGGUGCAUGCCACAAAAGGGGUGUUCCCUCUCAGUCCCGCGAGCGCAGCGAGUGUCCUGUCUUCCUCUAAAUUACUUAGCAUAGAUCAGAGCCACGUGGUAGUUCUGUGGCUGAGGCCGCCCUUUAGCCAGGGCUUGGGCCAGUCCUUUAGUGGGCGCCUGCUCUGCUGGCGGUGUGACAGCCUCGUAGUCGGGGCGUGUGUCCCAAGCUGCGGAGGCCUCUGUCCCGCGAGCGGCCCGCCCUCCCUGUAAUCAGGUGUGGGGAGGCUGCAGCAUUGCAGCCGGCUGCUCUAGCCAUCCAGCUGGUGGGAUUGAGCCCUCCCUGUCCCGUCAGAGGGUGCAGGUUGAGGUGCUGGUUUUGUGUGUGGGGUGACCUCCCCGCUCGGUGGGUCGAGGUUGCUCCCCGGGUUCCCAAAGACGAGAGCUUGGUGCUGUUGUGGUGCUGCCGGGCGGGCCAGCCUGUAGCUCAGGCGUUGGCGGGAGCCUCGUGCUCCGCGGGGCUUGUUGGUGAGGGUGGGGUGUGGGGGUACCGUCCUGUAGGCAGGGCUGUGCGUGCCCCCGGUGUGUGCUUGGUGAGCUGCGUUCAGAGAGACCCCCUGUAGUCAGGCGGGCACGUGGCCCUGGCCUUUCAGAGGCACGGGGCCGCGAGAUGCGGGGUUGGGCUUGCGCCCUCCCUGGAAUCAGGGCUGGGAGCCCGAGCGCGGCAUUUGGCCGUGUUGCCCCGCUGCCUGGCAGCUGAGAGUCGAUCCCGCCGCUGGGGGGGAAACCGAGCUCCGUGGCUCCAGGGGUGUUGUCCACCCGCCUGUAAUCAGGGUCUGGGUGCGCGAGCGCUUGUGCUCAGCUGGCAGCCUGUGUGGGGUGACCGCCCCGUUAGCGGGGUGCGGGUCGAGGUGCCCCCUGAGUGGGAGAGAAGGAGCCUCCCGCGGCCGGUAGGGAUGGGGGCUGCCCCGUAAGGCGGGGAGUGCCAGUGCCUCGCAGUCCCAAGCCCUUUGCAACGGAUGCAGUGGCGGGGGUCCCCUGUAAUCAGGGAAGAUGACUCUUUGGCCGCUGCUUUUUGUGUGCCCAGCUCCAUUUGCCCAGUCUGCCCGCCUCUGUGAUCCCCCGCAGCACCGGCUGGAAGCACGCCGUGCGCCAGUGAGGAGCUGCUGCAGGAGGAGGAGGAAGAAGAAGCGUCGUGGGGACGCGGGAGGCAGGAGCGACCAUGAUGGAGAUUCUUUUUACUGUCAAUGUCUUUCUAUUAACUUGUCUUUUGAAGCCUCAUUUAAAAUGUGUGUAUUGCUGUUGUUACUUCCCAGUUCCCACUAGAGACCUUUGAGAAUAAAGUUUAUUUGUAUG